rnacentral:rRNA from 1 species
GAUGAACGCUGGCGGCGUGCCUAAUACAUGCAAGUCGAGCGAACAGACGAGGAGCUUGCUCCUCUGACGUUAGCGGCGGACGGGUGAGUAACACGUGGAUAACCUACCUAUAAGACUGGGAUAACUUCGGGAAACCGGCGCUAAUACCGGAUAAUAUAUUGAACCGCAUGGUUCAAUAGUGAAAGACGGUUUUGCUGUCACUUAUAGAUGGAUCCGCGCCGCAUUAGCUAGUUGGUAAGGUAACGGCUUACCAAGGCGACGAUGCGUAGCCGACCUGAGAGGGUGAUCGGCCACACUGGAACUGAGACGCGGUCCAGACUCCUACGGGAGGCAGCAGUAGGGAAUCUUACGCAAUGGGCGAGAGCCUGACGGAGCAACGCCGCGUGAGUGAUGAAGGUCUUCGGAUCGUAAAACUCUGUUAUUAGGGAAGAACAAAUGUGUAAGUAACUAUGCACGUCUUGACGGUACCUAAUCAGAAAGCCACGGCUAACUACGUG